AUUGAACGCUGGCGGCAUGCCUUACACAUGCAAGUCGAACGGCAGCACGGGUGCUUGCACCUGGUGGCGAGUGGCGAACGGGUGAGUAAUACAUCGGAACAUGUCCUGUAGUGGGGGAUAGCCCGGCGAAAGCCGGAUUAAUACCGCAUACGAUCUACGGAUGACAGCGGGGGACCUUCGGGCCUCGCGCCAUAGGGUUGGCCGAUGGCUGAUUAGCUAGUUGGUGGGGUAAAGGCCUACCAAGGCGACGAUCAGUAGCCGGUCUGAGAGGACGACCAGCCACACUGGGACUGAGACACGGCCCAGACUCCUACGGGAGGCAGCAGUGGGGAAUUUUGGACAAUGGGCGAAAGCCUGAUCCAGCAAUGCCGCGUGUGUGAAGAAGGCCUUCGGGUUGUAAAGCACUUUUGUCCGGAAAGAAAUCCUUUGUCCUAAUACGGUCGGGGGAUGACGGUACCGGAAGAAUAAGCACCGGCUAACUACGUG
rnacentral:rRNA from 1 species